CUGUGACCUAUGCUGCAGUUCUUGCAGCAACACUGGAUUCUUAACCCACUGAGCAAGGCCAGGGACUGAAUCCCAUCCUCACAGAGACUGUGUCAGGACUUUAACCUGCUGAGCCACAACAGGAAAUCUAAUCUCUGAGUUCUAAAGCUUCAAAAGUAGCCUUAAAGUAAGUAAAAUAGUCCUCUAAAUUUUGCCACUUAAUGAUCUUACUUUUUGGGUAAGUAAUUUGUGUAAAGACCAAAGUUGCAGUCAUGGGAUUAGACUAGUUCAGGGUUAUCUACAUGCCUUAGUGGGUCGUUAAUAAAGAAGUAAGGCCAUUGCAUAAAACACAGCUGUGUCAUUCCAAGUUAAUGAGCCUUCUCUGUGCCUGGUCUGUCCAUGCACUACUGUGUAGAUAGGAGUUUCUUAUCAGCCUACACAUUUUGCAUCAACAUAUCAGGGUGUUCUAUUUGGGUCUGGAAGCUCAGAUAUAAAGAAUAUUUAUCACGCUAAGAUUAGUAAGAGUUACCAUACGCACAGAGUGGCAGAUUCUUGCACACAGAGAUGUGUUUGACACUGCGUGCUAUCUUUCAGCACUAUACAGAAUGAGCACCCUAGUUGGAAACUAUUUUUCUCUUCACUGAACAUAGUAGUGCUUUAUCUGCUCUUCACCAGUAGCAGGGUUUUAUAAAAUAUCUCUUCUCUCCUCUAAUAAACCGCAAGUGGUUUGGGGGCCAUUUCUGGAUGCCUUGCAAAACGUAGGUGCUCCAUAAAUGGAUGAGUAUCGGAGGCUCAUAUAACAUUUGGUUGACAUGGGCCACUGCAUGUUUCUUCAGACCUGGAGGUGGAUUUUCUUGCUCUGUUUCCAGAAUUGGACACUAAGGGUCAUAGUCUAGAGAGUUGCUCACUGAGCCAAGCUGGGAUUAAGCCUGGAACACUGGCCCAACUGGUUAGGUGCGCUAAUGAAACACACUUGCCUUAAAGAUCACUUAAACAUAUGAACAAAAGUCAGGGAGGAAGACCUUUUUUCCUACCCUUCUAGGUUCUCCUGGCUGGUCUACGAAUUAAAUUAGACAAUUAACAUGAGAUAAUAAAACAAAAGUUUAAUAAUAUGUAAACAUGGGAGAGACCCAGAAAAACUAACUUGCCAAAAUGGCCAAAACCCUCAUUUUAAAUGUCAUCUUCAACUACGGUCAGAACGGAUGUUGUGGGUAGUAGUGUGGAACUUCAGAGGGGAGGAAAGCAACUCACAUGGAGAUGGAAAAGCAAAUGUUUGGUAAACAAAUGUUGGUUGGGUCGUGCGGAGACAAUGGGAUACAGUGUGGACUCUGAUCUCUAGGCCUACAUUUCUCCCACCACACUCAGCCCAUAUUCUUUGCUGAUAACCUCUGGCGAUGGCUCUAUUCCCAAAACAGGUCCUCUAUCUAGAUUCUUUUAGGCAGUUAGAGGGAAGGUCAAAGUAUCCUCCUGAGUCUUUUGGGCCUUGCUUGGUUUUUGCUCAAAAUAAUUUGUAUGCCAAAGAGACAUCCUGGGGCGGCAAAUUUUGCUCCCCUACAUAGAAGUACCCCAGAGGAAAGGAGCAUGAUACUGGAGAGGCAGCGAAUCCUAACAAUUCCACACCUGCCAUGGAUGCUGGUACCCUGAUUGGCUCAGGGUUCUCAUGGCAACCUUCACUUGCUACCUGCUGUCACUCAUGAGAUGCUUGGCUGGUUGCCACCUUUUUUCAGCUUGCUAGGCUUAGGAAGAACCUGAAAGGAAGCAGGGAUGGGGUGAUGCAUUAUAGCAGGAAUAAUGACUAUUCCCAAGCAAAAAUUAGUUUUAAAUGAUCAAAUGGCUAUUUACCUGCACUUUUAUACUUGUAAUGAGCACUUCUCAAUUAUCUUAAAAGAAAUAUGUCAGAACGUUCAAGAAAUAUUCUAGAUCAUUUCUAGAAAGAGCUAUAAUUUUCAUUUAAAAAUUCUUGUAUAUAUAUUUGCUCUUAGAUUCUGCAAGCUCAUACUCCUAAAUAUGAAAACAUAUUUAAUUUCUAACUCAAUGAGAAGAAAAAGACAUCAAUAUUAACUUUUGUUUAAAUGUGUUAUGCAAUUCAAUAUGUGCAUGUGUUUGUAAGAAAAUCAUGGCUUUAAAAUUCUAUAAAUAGAAAACAUCUUUAUAUUUUAUAACUGAUCAUGCUCACAUAUAAAUCAUUGAUUUCUCUAUUCCUAUACAUAGACUUGUUCUUAAACCUUUCAUUCUAACAGCUUUCUGAGUUUGUUGACAAAUGACCAACCAUAAAAUAGAUAAUUAAGAUAUUAAAAAAUAAGCAAAACAAACCAGCAAAAAAAUAAAAUAAAGCUCCCAAAGCAAACAGCAUAUUUUAGAGGGAAAAUAAUUAAAGUGCUUAAAAGAAAGCUCUAUAAAUGUUAAGAAGAUAUAUUUUUAAAACCCCACAGAAAACAAAAUGAUUUCAUAACCACAUUAAGAGAACAAUCAUUUGAGUAUAUUUACUCCAAUGUAAACAAAUAGAGGAAAAAAGGAGAGAGGCUGAAAAUAGCCAGGCUUACACAGAAAGUUAAACCUUAAAGAGUUCCCAUUGUGGCUCAGUGGUUAAAGAACUUGACUAGUACCCAUGAGGACACAGGUUCCAUGCCUGGCCUCGCUCAGUGGGUUGAGGAUCCAGCAUUGCCAUAAACUGUGAGCUGUGGUGAAGGUCGCAGACGUGGCUUGGAUCCUGCAUUGCUGUGCUGUAGUGUAGGCUGGUGGCUACGGCUCUGAUUAGACCCCUAGCCUGGGAACCUCCAUAUGCCAUGGGAACAGCCCUAAAAAGACAAAAAAGUCAAAAAAAAAAAAAAAAAAGAAGAAAGAAAGAAAGUUAAACCUUAAAACGGCAUGAGGCUAGAUUUGAAAUCAGAUGCUCUGGAUGCUAUGUUCAGGUACUCAGACCCAAACAACUUGGUACUGUGCUUCAAAUUUUUGUUUCAAAAAAUAUUAACAAGUAAUAAUAAAUUAUAUGAUUGAACUCCAUUCCAUUCUUUGUUCAAAAUUCUGUCAUACACCGAAGAGCUCAGGCUGGGCCUCUGGUUUUCCGCUGCUCCAGGUAAUAUGAUUACGAUGGACCCCAGUGCUCUCCACCUAUCAAUGUCAAUCUGCCUGGACUGUUCCACGACAUCUUUUAUCAGUGAGAGCUGCCUGGUCUUUCAUGCCAGAGCCUUACAGGACCAAAGGUUUUAUUACAUUAAUAUGUUUCUGACUAAUUCUACCUUAUCUACUUAUUCACCUUACCUUUAAAACCCAAUUAAAAUCUAAUUUAUCUCAUCUUUGGAUUCUGAACACUAUUUGGCAAUGAAUCUAACAGUCCUGUAGUAACUACAUUACUCCACAUUGUGCCUUAAGGUGUUCUAGAUAAUACCUUAAAAAAAAUUGGCAAUUGCCAUUUAAAGCUACAGUGAUGUCUUUGAGGCUGCCUCCAUCUCAUUUGAAGAACAAAUGCUUUGUCCUUAUGCAAAAGGUACAUAGUAUGAUUUUAUACCUGUGGUUUUAGUUAUAAUUUAUGUGCAUAAAUGUGAAUAGAUCAUUGCUUUUCUUAAAUUUUUAUUCACUUUUUAAAAAUGUCAGAUAAUAAAGUCUUCUGACAGCUACAAAUUCCUCCAACACAUACACACAUCACAUACACACACGUACACACACACAGCAAUGUUUUAUAAUCUUCCAAAUUGUGGAUAUACUCAUACGUAUAAAUGUUACACUGAGAAAUCUCUUUAUUUAGAAUGUCAGUCCAAAAAAAUCCAUGCUACUGUGUUUCUGAUACUCCAUUUUCUUAAGCUGUGAAAAAAAGUCAUGCAAUGUUGAUACUAAUUCUGUU
rnacentral:lncRNA from 1 species